AAAAAAAAGUUGUCAACAUACGCUUGCCAGGAUUAGACGCGGCAUACCUAGUUUUCAAGCAGAAGUGGAGUAUCUAUGUCAGAAACUCAGACAACUUUAAGGAAAAUCAUCAAAAGGGCACCCUUUCAGAUAAAAACGUGGACCUGAUUGGCAUCAUCCUGUAUCCAUGGAAACGUUAUUCUGAGGAGGAGAAAAAAAAGUGGUUCUGUAGGAACUCAGGUACGUACCUGGCAUUAAUUUAAAUGCUCUCCAGGACAGUAUCAAUAGAGAACUUUCCCAGUAAUGUUUACAGCAGAACAGUUGUACUGAUUAUAACCUAUUUUAAAGUAAUAAUAAAUUAAUAGUAACCUUCCCUUCUAAAGUAUGA
rnacentral:lncRNA from 1 species